AUAUAGUGGUGAGUAUCCGCGUCUGUCACAUGCGAGACCCGGGUUCAAUUCCCGG
rnacentral:tRNA from 1 species